UGUUCUGUAGCGGAGUUGGUUAACGCGCCCUGUCUAGCGAACUUGGGGAGACGUGGGUUCAAAUCCCACCAGAACUA
rnacentral:tRNA from 1 species